rnacentral:rRNA from 1 species
UACGUAGGUGACAAGCGUUGUCCGGAUUUACUGGGCGUAAAGAGCGCGCAGGCGGUCGUUCAAGUCGAGUGUGAAAGCCCCCGGCUCAACUGGGGAGGGUCACUCGAUACUGAUCGACUUGAAGGCAGGAGAGGGAAGCGGAAUUCCCGGUGUAGUGGUGAAAUUCGUAGAUAUUCGGAAGAACACCAGUGGCGAAGGCGACUUACUGGACACAUACUGACGCUGAGGUGCGAAAGCGUGGGGAGCAAACAGG